rnacentral:rRNA from 1 species
UACGGAGGGUGCGAGCGUUGUCCGGAAUCACUGGGUUUAAAGGGUGCGUAGGUGGGUCUGUAAGUCCGUGGUGAAAUCUCCAAGCUUAACUUGGAAACUGCCAUGGAUACUAUAGGUCUUGAAUACCGUGGAGGUGAGCGGAAUAUGUCAUGUAGCGGUGAAAUGCUUAGAUAUGACAUAGAACACCAAUUGCGAAGGCAGCUCACUACACGAAUAUUGACACUGAGGCACGAAAGCGUGGGGAUCAAACAGG